rnacentral:lncRNA from 1 species
GCCAUUAUUGAGGUACCUACCCAAGAAAAUACAACCAAUAUUUAUAAGUACAUCUAUGGAGUUCACUUCAAAAAGUGUGGCCCUUGGGCGCACAAAAUGAUCCAGAAAUAUGCCAUGAAGGAGAUAGAGACCUGAGAUGUGUGCACUGAAUAAGAAAUAAGAAGGAAUAAGAAAUUUCCCAUAUCAUGUCAGUGUGUGUUAGUCCAGAAAAUAUACUGAAGAUGAAGUUUCACCAAACAAGCUCUAUAGUUUGGUUACCUAUGUACCUGUUACCACUUGUAAAAAUCUACAGUCAGUGUAG